AGGAAUCUCCUUCCGUGCCGUGAAUGAAUGGGGAAGAAGGGCCUCUCUCGAGGAAGGAGGGGGAGAGUCCCGUGACGACGGCCGGUCCUUCUCAGGAACGCGCGGAGAGCGCCGAAGCUGCCGGUGCCUUUGGGGCGGCAGCUUCGAUGAUCCUUGACCAUCAUCGAAGGUUCAACGCAAUCUCUUCCUUCUUCCUUCGAUCGCAUUGUUUCUCCCGCUUGGCGUCUGCACUCCGCUUGUCCCCUGCGAUUGUUGCGAGUUUUUAUUGUGUACUCUGUUCACUCUUCAAGCGCACAGUGACUGGUACCUGCCCUACCUGCCUUCAUGAGCCGGCUGAGCAUUUGUUUGCUUUCGUUUUCGUGACCAGAAUCGAUAUGCAGCCCUGCCAAUGCUUAGCCAUGCGCGUGUGAAUAGUAUUAGUUCGCUCCGCUGCUCAGGUAAAAGAGCGUCGAAGGUAAACGUGUAAACCUUCCGAGAUUCCCAUACUGUGAGCGCGAAGUCUCCGCUGUAAAAAGCAUGGAUCGAAGUAAGAAAAUCUCGUAAGAAGAAAGAAAGGAAGGAUUCUCCUGUCUACUGUUCUCAUAAUUAUUUGUGGUUCUGGUCAGCUAAAAGAGCAAUAAAAGUAGAGGUCUAACCUUCGGGGAUUCAUAUGUUGUGAGCGCCAAAUCUCCGGUGUACAGUAUGGAUCGAAGUAAGAAAAUCUCGUAAGAAAAAAAAAAGAAAAAAGGAAGGAUUCUCCUGUCUGCUGUUCUCGUAAUUAUUUAUGGUUUAUCGGUUUUUGAAAUGAGUUAAUUGUUUAGAAUUAUCAUCGUAACUCUUGGAUUUCACAUAUCAGGACCUGAAUGGAAGAUGCCUACUCUGCUCAGGAUGACAAUGCCUGGACCAUAUCAUCCCCUCGUCCCAUUUGGAGAAAAAAUUCGCUAGCGUUCAUGACCCCGUAAUCUAUUAUGUCUGCACAUUUUAUACCAUUUACUUCAUUAUUUCUCCCGUUUUAGAUUAGGUUCGCCAUUUUAUAUUCAUCUACACAGUUUGCCUUCACUGAGUUCACGCAUCUUCUUAACAUGUAGAGCCCAAAGUUAUCCAUUCUUUCUUGGGGUGUGAGAGGCAUUUCAUUGCUGCCCGAAGUUCGCCAUUUCUAACACAAUGGCUUCUGUGGAGAUUCUACAUAAGAAAUCUGUUUGAAUUUCGUAUGAAACACUCCUUCGUAGACUUAAUUUACACAAGAAUGGAAUCCAGCCCAUUUCACAAUCGCUCUUUUUUAAUUGUUCAUGGAUUUCGCUAAUGAUAAAAAAACAUUUAUUUGUACAGUUUGGCGAAUCUCAUGCAGUUGCAGUUACCUCAAUGCCCUUGAGACUCGCCCUCUUGGCAUUCCGAGGGCAUGGACUGGCUGAUGCCAUUUUAUUUCCCUUGAUAAUACCGCGAACUUAGCCUAUAGUUUUGUGUUCUGAUCUUCAUUUGGUUUCAUCUUCGUCCUCUGAUUUGAAACUCCAGCAGGCGAAGCAGAGUGCUCUGCAGACCAAAUGGUUUCUAACACAGAGUUGACCACCAGGAAUUUCUUUGACUGGAAUGGAUGGGAACAAGGUGCAACUGAUAUUGCUAUAAUUCAUUUAAAUCUCGGCAUUGAAAUUUGAAGCGAAAGAAUGGGAAAUGACGACAGAAUGACCUACACAAUGGACCAAUCCACCAUGCUUAGGAUGAGAUUUUAUCUCCCUCACACCAUGUUCAGAACCCUGUUACAGGGGUGCCUGAGUGAUGGAACAAAAAUGAUUGAAGAGGAGAGGGAAGAGAGGAAGGGAGGCUUGUGUGGGUGAUUUUGUGAUGGUUCUGUGGCUCCCCGAGCUCACAUGUUGAAGCCCAUUUGACCUGAUGGAGCACAAGGACAAG
rnacentral:lncRNA from 1 species